rnacentral:rRNA from 1 species
GGUCCCACCUGAUCCCAUCCCGAACUCAGAAGUGAAACGCAAUCGCGCCGAUGGUAGUGUGGGGUCUCCCCAUGUGAGAGUAGGUCAUCGCCAGAC